GAUGAACGCUGGCGGCGUGCUUAACACAUGCAAGUCGAACGAAGCCAAAAGGAAGCUUGCUUUCUUUGAAGCUUAGUGGCGGACGGGUGAGUAACGCGUGAGGAACCUGCCCUUCAGUGGGGAAUAACAGCCGGAAACGACUGCUAAUACCGCAUAACGUCGGAGUGCCGCAUGACACACCGACCAAAGGAUUUAUUCGCUGAAGGAUGGCCUCGCGUCCGAUUAGGCAGUUGGUGAGGUAACGGCCCACCAAACCUACGAUCGGUAGCCGAACUGAGAGGUUGAUCGGCCACAUUGGGACUGAGACACGGCCCAGACUCCUACGGGAGGCAGCAGUGGGGAAUAUUGGGCAAUGGGCGAAAGCCUGACCCAGCAACGCCGCGUGAAGGAAGACGGUCUUCGGAUUGUAAACUUCUUUGAUUGGGGAAGAACACAAUGACCUACCCAAAGAACAAGUCACGGCUAACUACGUGCCAGCAGCCGCGGUAAUACGUAGGUGACAAGCGUUAUCCGGAUUUACUGGGCGUAAAGGGCGUGUAGGCGGCCUUGCAAGUCAGAAGUGAAAUUCCCGGGCUCAACCCGGGCGCUGCUUCUGAAACUGUAGGGCUUGAGUGCUGGAGGGGAUAGCGGAAUUCCUAGUGGAGCGGUAAAAUGCGUAGAUAUUAGGAAGAACACCGGUGGCGAAGGCGGCUAUCUGGACAGUAACUGACGCUGAGGCGCGAAAGCGUGGGGAGCAAACA
rnacentral:rRNA from 1 species